UACGUAGGGGGCGAGCGUUGUCCGAAGUUACUGGGCGUAAAGCGCGCGUAGGCGGGCUCUUAAGUGAGGGGUGAAAGGUUUGGGCUCAACCCAAACACUGCCUUUCAUACUGGGAGCCUUGAGUGCGGGAGAGGCGAGUGGAAUGGUCGGUGUAGCGGUGAAAUGCGUAGAUAUCGGGAGGAACACCAAUGGCGAAGGCAGCUCGCUGGGACGGUACUGACGCUGAGACGCGAAAGCGUGGGGAGCAAACAGG
rnacentral:rRNA from 1 species